GGAUGCGAUCAUACCAGCACUAAAGCACCGGAUCCCAUCAGAACUCCGAAGUUAAGCGUGCUUGGGCGAGAGUAGAUGGGUGACCUCCUGGGAAGUCCUUGUGUUGCAUUCC
rnacentral:rRNA from 2 species